UACGAAGGGGGCUAGCGUUGCUCGGAAUCACUGGGCGUAAAGGGUGCGUAGGCGGGUCUUUAAGUCAGGGGUGAAAUCCUGGAGCUCAACUCCAGAACUGCCUUUGAUACUGAAGAUCUUGAGUUCGGGAGAGGUGAGUGGAACUGCGAGUGUAGAGGUGAAAUUCGUAGAUAUUCGCAAGAACACCAGUGGCGAAGGCGGCUAUCUGGUUCGAUUCUGACGCUGAGGUACGAAAGCGUGGGGAGCAAACAGG
rnacentral:rRNA from 1 species